rnacentral:rRNA from 1 species
GACGAACGCUGGCGGCGUGCCUAAUACAUGCAAGUAGGACGCAGUUGCGAACGGGUGAGUAACGCGUAGGUAACUACCUAUUAGAGGGGGAUAACUAUUGGAAACGAUAGCUAAUACCGCAUACUAGUAGAUGGACCUGCGUUGUAUUAGCUAGUAGGUAGGGUAAUGGCCUACCAAGGCAACGAUACAUAGCCGACCUGGAGGGGGGAGCGGGCAAACUGGGACUGGGGCCCGGCCCAGAUGCCGUCGGGAGGGAGCAGUAGGGAAACUUGGGCAAUGGGGGGAACCCUGACCGAGCAACGGCGCGUGGGUGAAGAAGGUUUUCGGGUCGUAAAGCUCUGUUGUUAAGGGAGCGGUACUUAACCAGAAAGCGACGGCUAACUACGUGCCAGCAGCCGCGGUAAUUC